UACGUAGGGAGCAAGCGUUGUCCGGAAUCAUUGGGCGUAAAGAGCUCGUAGGCGGUGUGUCGCGUCGGUCGUGAAAACUUGGGGCUUAACCCUGAGCUUGCGGUCGAUACGGGCAUCACUUGAGUUCGGCAGGGGAGACUGGAACUCCUGGUGUAGCGGUGAAAUGCGCAGAUAUCAGGAAGAACACCGGUGGCGAAGGCGGGUCUCUGGGCCGAUACUGACGCUGAGGAGCGGAAGCGUGGGGAGCGAACAGG
rnacentral:rRNA from 1 species